UACGUAGGUGGCGAGCGUUGUCCGGAAUAACUGGGCGUAAAGGGAGCGUAGGUGGCUAUUUAAGUUAAAUGUGAAAGCCCAGGGCCCAACUCUGGAAUUGCAUUUAAUACUGGAUAGCUAGAGUACUGGAGGGGUAAACGGAAUUUCUAGUGUAGCGGUGGAAUGCGUAGAUAUUAGGAAGAACACCGGAGGCGAAGGCGGUUUACUGGACAGCAACUGACACUGAGGCUCGAAAGCGUGGGGAGCAAAC
rnacentral:rRNA from 1 species